GGGAGUACUUUAAACAAUUCUGUUGGAAUUUUCUGUAGUUUCUGCCGGGGGAAAGGUGUAGAGGUCCAAUCUUGAUUAGGUAUGAAGGAAGAGGAGAGAAGAUAAGAGGAAUUUUGUGUUCACCCUUGUUUGUUACGACAGAAGGCAACAAAAGUGAAAACAAGUCAAUAUACAACGUGGCAGAUACCUCAAAAAGUACUGUAUCCAAAUUGCAAACCAGCAACU
rnacentral:misc_RNA from 1 species